rnacentral:rRNA from 1 species
CCCUUAGAUGUCCGGGGCUGCACGCGCGCUACACUGAAGGAAUCAGCGUGCUAAAACCAUUGUCGAAAGGCAUUGGUAAACCCAUUAAAAUCCUACGUGAUUGGGAUCGGGAAUUGCAAUUAUUUCCCUUGAACGAGGAAUUCCCAGUAAGUGUGGGUCAUAAGCUCGCGUUGAUUACGUCCCUGCCCUUUGUACACACCGCCCGUCGCUGCCCGGGACUGAGCCGUUUCGAGAAAAGCGGGGACUGCUGCUGUCGGGGCUUUCGGGCCUUGGCUUCGGUGGAAACCGCUUUAAUCGCAGUGGCUUGAACCGAGCAAAAGUCGUAACA